rnacentral:rRNA from 1 species
GAUGAACGCUGGCGGCGUGCCUAAUACAUGCAAGUCGAGCGAACAGACGAGGAGCUUGCUCCUCUUACGUUAGCGGCGGACGGGUGAGUAACACGUGGAUAACCUACCUAUAAGACUGGGAUAACUUCGGGAAACCGGAGCUAAUACCGGAUAAUAUAUUGAACCGCAUGGUUCAAUAGUGAAAGCCGUUUUUGCUGUCACUUAUAGAUGGAUCCGCGCCGCAUUAGCUAGUUGGUAAGGUAACGGCUUACCAAGGCAACGAUGCGUAGCCGACCUGAGAGGGUGAUCGGCCACACUGGAACUGAGAAACGGUCCAGACUCCUACGGGAGGCAGCAGUAGGGAAUCUUCCGCAAUGGGCGAAAGCCUGACGGAGCAACGCCGCGUGAGUGAUGAAGGUCUUCGGAUCGUAAAACUCUGUUAUUAGGGAAGAACAAAUGUGUAAGUAACUAUGCACGUCUUGACGGUACCUAAUCAGAAAGCCACGGCUAACUACGUG